UACGAAGGGGGCUAGCGUUGCUCGGAAUCACUGGGCGUAAAGCGCACGUAGGCGGACUCUUAAGUCGGUGGUGAAAUCCUGGAGCUCAACUCCAGAACUGCCUUCGAUACUGGGAGUCUUGAGUCCGGGAGAGGUGAGUGGAACUGCGAGUGUAGAGGUGAAAUUCGUAGAUAUUCGCAAGAACACCAGUGGCGAAGGCGGCUCACUGGCCCGGUACUGACGCUGAGGCGCGAAAGCGUGGGGAGCGAACAGG
rnacentral:rRNA from 1 species